CCUACGGGCGGCUGCAGUGGGGAAUAUUGGACAAUGGGCGAAAGCCUGAUCCAGCCAUGCCGCGUGUGUGAAGAAGGCCUUCGGGUUGUAAAGCACUUUCAGUGGGGAAGAAAGCCUUGGGGCUAAUACCCUCGAGGAAGGACAUCACCCACAGAAGAAGCACCGGCUAACUCCGUGCCAACAGCCGCGGUAAUACGGAGGGUGCGAGCGUUAAUCGGAAUUACUGGGCGUAAAGCGCGCGUAGGCGGUCUGAUAAGCCGGUUGUGAAAGCCCCGGGCUCAACCUGGGAACGGCAUCCGGAACUGUCAGGCUAGAGUGCAGGAGAGGAAGGUAGAAUUCCCGGUGUAGCGGUGAAAUGCGUAGAGAUCGGGAGGAAUACCAGUGGCGAAGGCGGCCUUCUGGACUGACACUGACGCUGAGGUGCGAAAGCGUGGGUAGCAAACAGGAUUAGAUACCCUGGUAGUC
rnacentral:rRNA from 1 species